rnacentral:rRNA from 1 species
AAUGUUAGAUAGCCAUGCAUGUCUAAGUAUAAAUAACUACACAGUAAAACUGCGAAUGGCUCAUUAAAACAGUUAUAGUUUAUUUGAUAUAACAAAUGGAUAACUGUACAAAAACUAGAGCUAAUACAUGCCAUAACCGUAAGGUUGUAUUUAUUAGGUAUUCCUGGUAGGUGAUUCAUAAUAACUUAGCGAAUCGUGACUUGUUCACGAUAAAUCAUUCAAGUUUCUGCCCUAUCAUGCUUUCGAUGGUAGUGUAUUGGACUACCAUGGCUCUCACGGGUAACGGAGAAUUAGGGUUCGAUUCCGGAGAAGGAGCCUGAGAAACGGCUACUACAUCUAAGGAAGGCAGCAGGCGCGUAAAUUACCCAAUCCUGACUCAGGGAGGUAGUGACAAGAUAUAACAACGUGAAGUCAAAUUCGCGAUUGUAGUGAGGUUAUUCCAAACCGAAAUUCAAGUACGAUUGGAGGACAAGUCUUGGUGCCAGCACCCGCGGUAAUUC